CAGUCGAACGGCAGUAGAACCAGCAAUGGGACUAUGAGAGUGGCGAACGGGUGCGUAACGCGUAUGCAACUUACCUCCAACUGGGGAAUAGCCCUGGGAAACCGGGAUUAACACCGCAUAAGAUGGUAGAACCGCAUGGUUCAGCCAUUAAAGUUUACGGUUGGAGAUGGGCAUGCGUGCCAUUAGCUAGUUGGCGGGGUAAUAGCCCACCAAGGCGACGAUGGCUAGGGGGUCUGAGAGGAUGAUCCCCCACACUGGUACUGAGAUACGGACCAGACUCCUACGGGAGGCAGCAGUAGGGAAUAUUGGUCAAUGGACGCAAGUCUGAACCAGCCAUGCCGCGUGCAGGAUGAAGGCGCUCUGCGUUGUAAACUGCUUUUGUACGGGAAGAAUAUAUCGUUUGCGAACGGUUUUGACGGUACCGUAAGAAUAAGGAUCGGCUAACUACGUGCCAGCAGCCGCGGUAAUACGUAGGAUCCAAGCGUUGUCCGGAUUUAUUGGGUUUAAAGGGUGCGCAGGCGGCCUGAUAAGUCAGUGGUGAAAGCCCGUUGCUUAACAACGGAACUGCCAUUGAUACUGUCGGGCUUGAGUACAGUUGAGGUUGGCGGAAUGUAUCAUGUAGCGGUGAAAU
rnacentral:rRNA from 1 species